GGAGAAAGUUAAAAAGUAUUACAUGCAGGAGAAAAAAACUGGGUGUAUUUUUAAAGUCCAUGCCGGGAUGUUUAUUUAUAGAAACUGGGUUAUGACCGAAAACACUGGCUCACGGGAGGACGUAAAAAAUAACAAGUGUCUCUCCCCAGAUUACUGUGAUCGGUUUGGAUGAAAAUCUGUGAUUCCCGCUGCUCUCACAUUCCUGUCAUUCCUAAAAUGGUUGAAUGUUGGAGGCUACAGUGGUAGAAUUAACUAAGUCCUGUACUUAAAGCCAGAAUGAGUAGGAUUUUCCUAAAAAAACAAUGUUUAGACUCAUACAAAAAUAAUCCCUCUCAAUCAUCACUGAUGGCGUGUGUGGAGGCGUCUGUAUCUGCAGAGACGCUGCCUGUUUUUUUUUGUAGUUUCUUCUUGUUUUGCUGUGUUCGGGACGUUUCUGGGCGUCAGCCUUUGGGCAGUGGUGUGUAGCCUCCAGCCGAUAACAGCGAGCAGGCUGUGAGGUCGGGACUCUGUAAAAACAUAGCGACCAGGUUAGAUCGCUGCCUCUCUGCUCUCUGUCUGUGUCAUGGGCCCUGUUUACACCUGGCAUUACCAUGCGUCUUGGGUGAUCCGAUCAAGUACAGAGUGGAGCUCUUUGACCAGUGAGGACACAGUGUUGGUGAUGGAGUCGGCUGCUACCAGAAGGUCAUUCCUCAGGUUCCUUCUCGGGCCUGAGAUGGAGAGAUUUCCAGACUUACCUUGGGCGAAUGCCUCCUGUACGUCACCACCCACCCCAGCGAGUGAAUCUUGAGGAGGGUACAUGUGACCCUGGGGAGAUGCAGCACCCAUAGAGCGGACGGUUGAUGGGCUCGGUCGAGAAGGAGA